UACGUAGGAUGCAAGCGUUGUCCGGAAUUACUGGGCGUAAAGGGCGAGCAGGUGGCACUACAAGUCUGAUGUAAAAUCUCCCGGCUUAACUGGGAGGGGCCAUUGGAAACUGUAGAGCUGGAGUGCAGGAGAGGCUAACGGAAUUCCCGGUGUAGUGGUGAAAUGACGUAGAUAUCGGGAGGAACACCAGUGGCGAAGGCGGUUAGCUGGCCUGUAACUGACCACUGAGGCG
rnacentral:rRNA from 1 species